rnacentral:rRNA from 1 species
AAACCAGCACCUCAAGUGGUCAGGAUGAUUAUUGGGCCUAAAGCAUCCGUAGCCGGCUCUGUAAGUUUUCGGUUAAAUCUGUACGCUUAACGUACAGGCUGCCGGGAAUACUGCAGAACUAGGGAGUGGGAGAGGUAGACGGUACUCGGGAGGAAGUGGUAAAAUGCUUUGAUCUCUCGAUGACCACCUGUGGCGAAGGCGGUCUACCAGAACACGUCCGACGGUGAGGGAUGAAAGCUGGGGGAGCAAACCGGAUUAGAAACCCGGGUAGUCC